rnacentral:rRNA from 1 species
GAUGAACGCUGGCGGCGUGCCUAAUACAUGCAAGUCGAGCGAACAGAUAAGGAGCUUGCUCCUUUGACGUUAGCGGCGGACGGGUGAGUAACACGUGGGUAACCUACCUAUAAGACUGGGAUAACUUCGGGAAACCGGAGCUAAUACCGGAUAACAUUUGGAACCGCAUGGUUCUAAAGUGAAAGAUGGUUUUGCUAUCACUUAUAGAUGGACCCGCGCCGUAUUAGCUAGUUGGUAAGGUAACGGCUUACCAAGGCGACGAUACGUAGCCGACCUGAGAGGGUGAUCGGCCACACUGGAACUGAGACACGGUCCAGACUCCUACGGGAGGCAGCAGUAGGGAAUCUUCUGCAAUGGGCGAAAGCCUGACGGAGCAACGCCGCGUGAGUGAUGAAGGGUUUCGGCUCGUAAAACUCUGUUAUUAGGGAAGAACAAAUGUGUAAGUAACUGUGCACGUCUUGACGGUACCUAAUCAGAAAGCCACGGCUAACUACGUG